rnacentral:rRNA from 1 species
GACGGAGGGUGCAAGCGUUGCUCGGAAUCACUGGGCGUAAAGGGUGCGUAGGCGGUUCGGCAAGUCGGAUGUGAAAUCUCCACGCUUAACGUGGAGGGGCCAUUCGAAACUGCCGUGACUCGAGUCCGGUAGGGAGUUCGGGAAUUCCCGGUGUAGCGGUGAAAUGCGCAGAUAUCAGGAAGAACACCCGUGGCGAAGGCGGUUCUCUGGGACGGUACUGACGCUGAGACGCGAAAGCGUGGGGAGCGAACAGG